ACGACCUCAACUCAAGCAAGACUACCCG
rnacentral:rRNA from 2 species